rnacentral:rRNA from 1 species
CCUACGGGAGGCAGCAGUGGGGAAUAUUGCACAAUGGGGGAAACCCUGAUGCAGCGACGCCGCGUGAGUGAAGAAGUAAUUCGUUACGUAAAGCUCUAUCAGCAGGGAAGAAACACUGACCUUACGGUCAGCAGACGGUACCUGAGUAAGAAGCCCCGGCUAACUACGUGCCAGCAGCCGCGGUCAUACGUAGGAUCCGAGCAUUAUCCGGGGUGACGGGGGGUAAAGAGUUACGUAGGUGGGAUAAUAAGUAGCGAGUGAAUUCUGAUGGCUCAACCAUUCAGACGAUUUGGUAAACUGUUAAGCUCGAGACCGUUAGGGGUAACUGGAAUUUCUAGUGUAGGAGUGAAAUCCGUAGAUAUUAGAAGGAACACCAAUGGCGUAGGCAGGUUGCUGGGAUGGUUCUGACACUAAGGCACGAAAGCGUAGGGCGCAAACGGGAUUAGAUACCCGAGUAGUC